rnacentral:rRNA from 1 species
AUUGAACGCUGGCGGCGGGCCUAACACAUGCAAGUCGAACGAGUGGCGGACGGGUGAGUAAUGUCUGGGAAACUGCCUGAUGGAGGGGGAUAACUACUGGAAACGGUAGCUAAUACCGCAUACCAUCAGAUGUGCCCAGAUGGGGUUAGCUUGUUGGUGGGGUAACGGCUCACCAAGGCGCAGAUCCCUAGCUGGUCUGCGAGGAUGACCAGACACACUGGAACGUAGACACGGUCCAGACUCCGACGGGAGGCAGUAGGGUGGAAUAUUGCACAAGUGGCGCAAGCCUGAUGCAGCCAUGCCGCGUGUAUGAAGAAGGCCUUCGGGUUGUAAAGUACAUUCAGCGGGGAGGCGUUACCCGCAGAAGAAGCACCGGCUAACUCCGUGCCAGCAGCCGCGGUAAUUC